UGCAACUGUCUCCUGAAUGUUUUAUUUGACUGGAAGGACAGGAGAAAUCCAGACCUAUCAACAAAAUUGUGUUUACAAAAUAUGUCUAUGGCAACCCUAUGAACUCAAAAAGGUUCCUAGUAGGGUUUUGUUCCUAUUGGGACCAAAUAACUGUAACACAUAAGAUUGAAGUUCCGGACGCUCGAGAGUUAGAACGCUCCCACAGAUUCUUCUGUCAGAUAGCUAGCUGCUAGCUAUGUCAAUAAUUCGCGUAAAUGUUUUGUACACAUCUGCAACUGCUCGGAUGAUGUGCAUACAAGCUAACCAGGCUGAAUUUUGAUGCCAAUAACUGAAAAUGGAUAGAGAUUUACUGAGGCAGACAUUGUCUCACCAUGGACAGAGCCUGUUUACCCAUCUCAAAUGUGAACAAAGUGAAAAUCCAGAUUUCAAGGCUAUUGAACCUGACUUGUCCAAAGCCAGCUAUCAAAGGAAAUAUGGAGGUGAGGACAAUGCCUUAGUGGAGCAGUUCAUUGCUAGAAAAGCUGACAUCCUGUUUGCGCCAUCAUGGAAGUCUAGUGCACUUCUGGAGGAUGUGUUAGAGGAGGAAGGAGAAGAGCCCUACGCCAUCAUGCCCCCUCUGGAGCAGUUCAUGGAGGUGUCGUUUGAGGAACGGAGAAAUCUCUUGUACAGGGACAUUGAGCGAGGGGACAUUGUGAUAGGCAGGAUCAACUCCAUCAGGGACUUUGGCUUCUUUGUAACUUUGAUCUGCAUGGGAGGUGGACUAGAGCGAGACAUAGAGGAUCUGGAGCUCACGGCCCUGUGUCCCCUUAGAGAUGUACCUUCCAAUGGCAAUCAUGAUGAUCCGCUAUCAUACUAUCAGCUUAAUGAUUUGAUAAGAGCUGGAGUGAAGGACAUUGACCGAUACCAUGAGAAGAUAACCAUUUCACUUCAGCCCUCCUCCCUCGGCCCAAAUCUGAUGAACCUAAAGCUUGGAGUUUUUAGUAGAGAUGAUUUGCCACUUCAAUACAGCCGCAGUGUGAGGGUUGCAAACGACAACACUGAAACCUAUGAGAGGGUUUUAGAGGGUUCUCUUGGCUAUUCCAAUCCGUCUAAUGUGGAAUAUCUCCUGGGGAAGAUUGGGGUCAGUGACACACAGCCUCCCUCACUCAUGAGAGGGCUACAGAGCAAACAUUUCCUUGAGGAGGACUUUGCCACAACUAUCCGAAAGAAGCAGUCUGCAUCCUGGGCUCUUAAAUGUGUAAGGGUUGGUGUGGACCACUUCAAAUCUGGCCGCCAUGUCGAAGCAAUGAAUGAAUAUAACAAGGCCUUAGAGAUCGACACUAACAAUGUGGAAGCCCUUGUGGCACGUGGUGCACUGUAUGCUAACAAAGGGAGUUUGCUGAAGGCAAUAACUGACUUUGAGCUGGCAUUGGAAAGCUGCCCAACCCACAGAAAUGCAAAGAAAUACCUAUGCCAGACCCUGGUCGAGCGAGGUGGCCAACUGGAGGAGGAAGAAAAGCUAGUCACAGCUGAAGGUCUCUAUAGAAAAGCCCUGGCCUUAGACGACUCCUUCCAAGACGCCAAGGAAGCAUUGAAAAAAAUAGAGCUGCUUAUCCAGGUGAGCUGGAACAUUCCAUGGCAAUGCCAACUAUUCCUCAUAUGACUGAUCAUUGAACAUUGUGAACUAUGAACAUUUUGGGGGAAAAGGGCCAGUGAAAAGUUCUGUGUCGUUAGCGUGCUUGGAGUAACACACAGGGAACCUUGUAAUACUGAUUAAGUGUUUUGUUGUGUGCUUGUCUGAUCUGGGAUCCUGCCCUUUGACUCUACCCGACUGCCUUGAUUGUCGCUUGUCUAUUGGGGGAACAAACAACCUUACAACUGGAAUGAAAAUGGUUGGUACGCUGGACCUGGUCUCAAUGCGAAAUCGCUCAAACUGAGAGAAGAGGCAGCUGCAAAGGAAGCAGAAAAAGCUAAGAAUGUGGAGACAAGUGCAGAAAAAUUGCGUAAGAUCUUAAAAGAAGAAAAAAGGUACAUCCAUACCAAUCCGUCAGAAAGGUAACCUGGUAAACUGUCAGCUCAUCGGUUGUCUUGUAAAAACAAAAUACGUACACAUAAUUUAAUUUGCCGAAAUAUUAUCAUUCAUCAUUUAAGUUCAUCACAAAUAUAACCUAUUUCAUAUGUAGCUACAUAGUUUGUCUGCUAUAACUCCCUCUAGAAUGAAAAGGAAACAAAGGAGAUCCUCCUCUUCAUCAUCGUCUUCCUCCUCUUCUUCUGACCGAUCCUCCUCGGGUCGCAGGAAGUCAAAGAAAAAGAAGCGCAAACACAGACGGUCAUCUCGAGGGAAGAAACACCAGCAGGUUUCAUCCAGGGACAACAGGAGUGUGGCUGAUGACGAGGAGGAGUGGUACCCUGCCCCGCCCAACACCUCCGCCUCCUUCCUGGAUCAGAAAUCUAGCGUGGUUAGGCCGUUUGAGGGGCCAGAGAAGACUGAAGAAGGCAGUCAGCCCCCCAGCAAGGGCAGGAGCCACUCGUACCACUCUUUAUCAUCAGUGUCUGACGCUCCGGACAACAGCAGGUUUGAAGAUGACCCUUUUGACGCCUCUCCUCAGCGAGCUGAGGGCAGCAAGGGAAAAGGUGUCCGUGGUGACAAGACUAGUGAUGGAGACGUGAAGGAGAGGGAAGGCUCCAGGGGCCAGAGGAAAAGCCAGGGCCAGGAGGAUCAAAGUGGCCCACAAGACGUUCCCAGCUCAUUGGAGAAAGUCAAACACAGAAGAAUGUCCUCCUCAUCUGCCGGCUCAGAGCAUUCCCGCAAAUCUGACCAGUACACCAACGACCUCCCAUCACAGUCCCACAUAUCCACUUACAGGCGAUCAGAUAGUGGGAAGUAUGGUAGCACAGAGCGAGGCGAUAAGAAAGAGCAGGAGAGGGGCACUCGAAGGUCUGAUGGAGGAGAUUACAGGUCUUCCACUGACGCCACCCGGAAUGGUAAGGGAUCAUCCGCAGGAGGAAGUCAGAAAAAAGAGCUGCCAACUAAUCUCCUAGAUCUCUUCAGCCAGAUAGCCCAGUUUGAGAAGGAGAAAUGUGUCAAGCCGAAAAAGUGAAUUCAGCUUUUCCGAGAUGCUUUUACCAUAUGUCAUAAAAACGAUAAACUAAUGCUAUUCUAAUGUUGGACAAAGUUGUAGUUACCAAGCUGUCAUAAUUUAGAAUUUAGUGUUGGUGAUAUCAAACAUUUUCCUCUGUUAUUUCUGUGAUCAAUACACUGCCUUAAUAUUAUGAGAUUACAUUUUCUGUGAAAGGAUGUUUUUUUUAUGUGCCAGAAAGCAAAUGAAAGACCAGUUAAGAUGUCUUCUUUUGGCUUGCAGCUGGAAAAAAUGUAUUUCCUUUGAUUGAAUAAUUGUGUAUUUUCCUCUUAGUACAAUGAACUCUGUAUUACCAAGUACCAUCAGGAAACUCACAAAUCAGAUCUAUUGAGAUAGAAAUGUGCCAUUCUUUUCUAUUUGCUGGGAGUAGAUUGGAAGAUGUCAUUUAAUGACUGAUGACACAUUUCCAUGUGUGAAUCUUUUUCAAUAAAUGGCCUACGAGUUUUGCCCAAAAUGUC